UUUCGUUUACUAGGAUUCCCUCGCGAUCCGCAGCAGAGUUCCUCACACUGCGCACCACCCGCGGGGUCUGUCCCACAGACCUUGGCUGAUGGAUGAAAUGAGUACUCAAAGACACAGAGGGAGGCAUUGCAGAGAGACCCCUUUCAAAGCACACAGGAAGUGGCUGAAGUCAAUAAAGAAACAGAAGAACAAUUUGAAUGAAGAUGGAUCAAAAAGAAGACAGACAUUUCUAAAAAGCCAUCUUUAAAUAUACCAUUUUACAAGCUCCCUAGUAAAUAUCUUGAGACAAAAUUGGAUGACUACACAUUUAGCAUGUUAUCAUGAUGCUUUGAAAAUAUGUAUGUGUACAUAUAUAUGUAAUAUUUAUACACAAAAUGUAUAACAUAAUAUUUCAUAUGAUAAUAAAUAUAAAUGUAAAUAUAAAUUUGACUUAAGAAGGGAGUAUAUGUUGAUAGCGUUGAAGUAAGCUUAGAUGAUCACCUUAAAUGUUGUUACUGUCUUUGUUGCCAUAGAAUAAACACUUAAAGAGAAAUAACAA